rnacentral:piRNA from 1 species
UACAAACCAUGAUUUAACCAUGGAAGUGC